AUUGAACGCUGGCGGCAUGCUUUACACAUGCAAGUCGAACGGCAGCGCGGGCUUCGGCCUGGCGGCGAGUGGCGAACGGGUGAGUAAUACAUCGGAACGUGCCCAGCAGUGGGGGAUAGCUCGGCGAAAGCCGGAUUAAUACCGCAUACGACCUGAGGGUGAAAGCGGGGGAUCUUCGGACCUCGCGCUAUUUGAGCGGCCGAUGGCAGAUUAGCUAGUUGGUGGGGUAAAGGCCUACCAAGGCGACGAUCUGUAGCUGGUCUGAGAGGACGACCAGCCACACUGGAACUGAGACACGGCCCAGACUCCUACGGGAGGCAGCAGUGGGGAAUUUUGGGCAAUGGGCGAAAGCCUGAUCCAGCAGUGCCGCGUGUGUGAUGAAGGCCUUCGGGUUGUAAAGCACUUUUGGCGGGAACGAAAAGGACUGUGCCAAUACCACGGUUCGAUGACGGUACCCGCAGAAUAAGCACCGGCUAACUACGUG
rnacentral:rRNA from 1 species